GCGUCGGUGGCUCAGCGGUUUAAGCAUUUGACUUGUAAUCUACAGAUCUUGGGUUCAAAUCCCACCACGUA
rnacentral:tRNA from 1 species